ACACAUGCAAGCCACAUGCACACAAAUGCAGACAGACUAUAAAGUGGAUUAUAGGACUGUGUAUGUCCUACACACACAUUAUAUGUCCUACACGCACAGUGAUGAGGAGUGACAAAAUGAAGACUCCAGAAUCCUCUUUAUCAGAUCCUGAAUGUGCACUUUCUGAAGUGAAGUCCACUAUGUGCUGGGCACACAGAGAAUAGAGCAUGAAACAAAAGCAACAUGACCCUGCCCUCACCAAGACUACAGGGAGUGAUGGAGCAUACAACUUUGUUUCAGAAUGCAAUUCAGAUCUUCCCUUUCGCUUGGCUUCUUAAAACUUCUUUUGAGGAUGGUAAAAUUUCGUGUUAUAUUAAAUUUCAUCCUGUAACUGAUACUCUGGGAUGAUGUUGGCCAAUAACUAGCAAGACUUUAAAUAAUCAACUAGUUUAGGCAUUGCUUAGCACGCUCCAGCUGACUUCACAAGUAAAACCAUGUGAAGAAAGAAGGUUUUCAGCUUAUAAUAGUCUCAGAGGCAACAUGGCCAGCAUAAAAGUAGAACAACAGAACAGAAUGAAACAUAAGAAAACAGAAACAAACAAGUAGAAGCUCAAAUAUCCACACAACUAAAAGUGGCGAUGAUAAUAAAAUCUGGCUCUGGUGACAUAAGCGGAAGUUGUUGUGUGGAACGUGCAGGAGGACUCCUUCAAAAGGAAUAUGGACAGGGAGUGCACACUUUUCCAGCCUUCUUGUCUCAUUCCUUCUUGCUGCCAGGAACAAUGACAUGAGAACUGGAGCGCUAACAGCCAUUCAGAUCAUGAGGCAACAUUAAGGAUGAAAACCACACACUGAGGAUGAUGGAGCAGAAAAAACGGAGAGAAGGAGAUUUUCUGACCAUCCCAUGGUGCCAGUUGACACACCUGGACUGCCUACUUCUGACUCUCUUGUAUUUGAAAUAAUACAUUUUGUUGUGUUUAAUCACUACUAUUUUGGAUUUUCUGUUGUAUGCAGCUGAAUUUAGUUCUAAUUGAUGUAGACAAGUCUGUCUGUAACUAGAUGCAUGUGGAAAAUAAAACUUUUAUGGGAAAAAUACAGAAUUAUGGAAUCAAAUUCUAUAUUUUUUGCUUUUGCCGCA
rnacentral:lncRNA from 1 species